CAGAGUUGAAAAACUCCCUAAACCCUUUGUUUAUCUACCUGUUCAGUUGCUUCGGCAGGCGGCCCCAGGGCGGGGCCUCCGGCCUGCUUAGGCAGGUGCCUGCCGCUGGCGCAAAAAAAACUCUUUGUUAUAUGUUACCAUUCUGAGUCUCAAAAAAAAUGAAUCA
rnacentral:misc_RNA from 1 species